AUAUUAUAGAGUCUGAGAGGCUCGAUAUUUUAUGGGAUAAAGGUUUUAUCGCUUGCGGCAUGCAUUCGAUUUUUCCUUAGAAAUUAAUUUGGGGAAACAUAAAUAUUUUAAUUAUUAAUUUACUUUUGUCCACUCACUCUAACGUUAUUAAAUGUUUUCCCCUGGGCCCUUCGUUUUAAAUUGCCCAGUCUGCAGAGUUCGGGUUGGAUCUAGUAGGAGACGAGGCAUAGUCACCCGCUUUUCGGCCAGUUUUCAUCAGUAGGUUACCUGUUCAACCUACUCGUGUUUUCUUGCUUCCGCUUGUGUUUAGUAGCUCUGAAUACUUUAGAAUUUUUGUAUAUUAUGGGAUGUUCAGAAGUGUUAAAUUAAGAGUAUAAUAUGAAAUUUUUCGAGUUAGGGUUGUCCAUCUGCAAGGGAGAUUUUCUUAAUCUUUUCAGUAAAUUUUCCUUGGAGGUGGUCCCCGCACGACUUAUUCUGGGUUUCAGGGUGAAAUUCGGGGUGGGUCGUGUCAAGUGUAGUAGCAGCUUCUGUAAAUACAGUAUCGGGAUUUCAGUGGCUCAGCAAAUAAAUACAGUAGUAGAUUUUUAGUGGUUCAGCUAGUGUAGUAGCAACUUCAGUAACUGUAGUAGCAGGUUUUCAAUGGCUCAACUAAUGUAGUAGCAUGUUUUUCUGGAAAGUUAGCUGCUACUACACUUCCAACAAAUGUAGUAGCAGAGUUUUAGUGACACGACCCACCCCGAGUUUCACCCUGAAACCCAGAGUAAGUCGUGCGGGGACCACCUCCAAGGAAAAUUUACUGAAAAGAUUAAGAAAAUCUCCCUUGCAGAUGGACAACCCUAACUCGAAAAUUUCAUAUUACACUUCUGAACAUCACAUAAUAUACAAAAAUUCUAAAGUAUUCAGAGCUACUAAACACAAGCGGAAGCAAGAAAACACGAGUAGGUUGAACAGGUAACCUACUGACGAAAACUGGCCGAAAAGCGGGUGACUAUGCCUCGUCUCCUACUAGAUCCAACCCGAACUCUGCAGACUGGGACUAAAUUUAAAACGAAGGGCC
rnacentral:lncRNA from 1 species